rnacentral:rRNA from 1 species
UGGGGAAUAUUGGACAAUGGGCGAAAGCCUGAUCCAGCCAUGCCGCGUGAGUGACGAAGGCCUUAGGGUUGUAAAGCUCUUUUGGCGGGGAAGAUAAUGACGGUACCCGCAGAAUAAGCUCCGGCUAACUUCGUGCCAGCAGCCGCGGUAAUACGAAGGGAGCUAGCGUUGUUCGGAAUCACUGGGCGUAAAGCGCACGUAGGCGGAUUGUUUAGUCAGGGGUGAAAUCCCGGGGCUCAACCUCGGAACUGCCUUUGAUACUGGCAAUCUCGAGUCCGAUAGAGGUGGGUGGAAUUCCUAGUGUAGAGGUGAAAUUCGUAGAUAUUAGGAAGAACACCGGUGGCGAAGGCGGCCCACUGGAUUGGUACUGACGCUGAGGUGCGAAAGCGUGGGGAGCAAACAGGAUUAGAUACCCAAGUAGUCCCUGAGCGGGCUGGCAAGGCGCAU